rnacentral:lncRNA from 1 species
GUAUAUAUCUGUUUAAAAAAAUUUAAAGAUUUAUUUAUAUAAAUAAAAAAUUCUAAAUAUUGAAUAUAAACAUAUUAAUUUAUCGAAUCCAAUAUGUGUAAUUAAAGUUUCAAAAUGAUAAUUAGUUUCUUAAAAUUUUCGAUGCCUCUGCAGUUAGUUAUUUAGCUGCUUUUUAUGCAUGGUUUAUAUUAAUUGUAAUAUAUAGUGCUUCUUGAUUUGCCAUUACCUUAUAUGUAAUCAAUUGAAACUCAAACUCAAGUUCAAAGAUGGGUAAU